rnacentral:rRNA from 1 species
UACGUAGGGCGCAAGCGUUGUCCGGAAUUAUUGGGCGUAAAGAGCUCGUAGGUGGGUUGGUAAGUCAGUGGUGAAAUCUCCGAGCUUAACUUGGAAACUGCCAUUGAUACUAUCAGUCUUGAAUACCGUGGAGAUGAGCGGAAUAUGUCAUGUAGCGGUGAAAUGCUUAGAUAUCGGGAGGAACACCGGUGGCGAAGGCGGCCUUCUGGUCGGAUACUGACGCUAAAACGCGAAAGCGUGGGGAGCAAACAGG